rnacentral:tRNA from 1 species
GGCGAGGUAGCUCAGUGGUAGAGCAGGGGACUCAUAAGCCCUUGGUCGUGAGUUCGACCCUCACCCUCGCCA